AUGGCUCAGAUUGAACGCUGGCGGCAGGCCUAACACAUGCAAGUCGAGCGGUAGCACAGAGAGCUUGCUCUCGGGUGACGAGCGGCGGACGGGUGAGUAAUGUCUGGGAAACUGCCUGAUGGAGGGGGAUAACUACUGGAAACGGUAGCUAAUACCGCAUAAUGUCGCAAGACCAAAGUGGGGGACCUUCGGGCCUCAUGCCAUCAGAUGUGCCCAGAUGGGAUUAGCUAGUAGGUGGGGUAACGGCUCACCUAGGCGACGAUCCCUAGCUGGUCUGAGAGGAUGACCAGCCACACUGGAACUGAGACACGGUCCAGACUCCUACGGGAGGCAGCAGUGGGGAAUAUUGCACAAUGGGCGCAAGCCUGAUGCAGCCAUGCCGCGUGUGUGAAGAAGGCCUUCGGGUUGUAAAGCACUUUCAGCGGGGAGGAAGGCGGUGAGGUUAAUAACCUCAUCGAUUGACGUUACCCGCAGAAGAAGCACCGGCUAACUCCGUGCCAGCAGCCGCGGUAAUACGGAGGGUGCAAGCGUUAAUCGGAAUUACUGGGCGUAAAGCGCACGCAGGCGGUCUGUCAAGUCGGAUGUGAAAUCCCCGGGCUCAACCUGGGAACUGCAUUCGAAACUGGCAGGCUAGAGUCUUGUAGAGGGGGGUAGAAUUCCAGGUGUAGCGGUGAAAUGCGUAGAGAUCUGGAGGAAUACCGGUGGCGAAGGCGGCCCCCUGGACAAAGACUGACGCUCAGGUGCGAAAGCGUGGGGAGCAAACAGGAUUAGAUACCCUGGUAGUCCACGCUGUAAACGAUGUCGAUUUGGAGGUUGUGCCCUUGAGGCGUGGCUUCCGGAGCUAACGCGUUAAAUCGACCGCCUGGGGAGUACGGCCGCAAGGUUAAAACUCAAAUGAAUUGACGGGGGCCCGCACAAGCGGUGGAGCAUGUGGUUUAAUUCGAUGCAACGCGAAGAACCUUACCUGGUCUUGACAUCCACAGAACUUAGCAGAGAUGCUUUGGUGCCUUCGGGAACUGUGAGACAGGUGCUGCAUGGCUGUCGUCAGCUCGUGUUGUGAAAUGUUGGGUUAAGUCCCGCAACGAGCGCAACCCUUAUCCUUUGUUGCCAGCGGUCCGGCCGGGAACUCAAAGGAGACUGCCAGUGAUAAACUGGAGGAAGGUGGGGAUGACGUCAAGUCAUCAUGGCCCUUACGACCAGGGCUACACACGUGCUACAAUGGCAUAUACAAAGAGAAGCGACCUCGCGAGAGCAAGCGGACCUCAUAAAGUAUGUCGUAGUCCGGAUUGGAGUCUGCAACUCGACUCCAUGAAGUCGGAAUCGCUAGUAAUCGUAGAUCAGAAUGCUACGGUGAAUACGUUCCCGGGCCUUGUACACACCGCCCGUCACACCAUGGGAGUGGGUUGCAAAAGAAGUAGGUAG
rnacentral:rRNA from 1 species